GCUAUGGUGUUAUUUACCUUUGCUUGCUUUUAUUAGUUUCCUAUUGAUACGUAACAAAUUACCACAAACUUAGUGGCUUAAAACAACAGCCCUUUAUUAUUGCACAUGUUCUGGAGGUCCACUAGUUGUCCACUGGGGAUCACUCUGAGCACUAGGCCUGCGCUCACCACGUGGCUUGCUCACAGGGCUUUUUUUUUUUUAAGAUUUUAUUUAUUUAUUCAUGAGAGACACAGACACAGAGAGGCCGAGGCGCAGACAGAGGGAGAGGCAGGCUCCAUGCAGGGACUCGAUCCCAGGUCUCCAGGAUCACACCCUGGGCUGAAGGCGGUGCUACACUGCUGAGCCACCCGGGCUGCUCACAGGGCCUUUUAUAGCAAAGCUAUUUGCUUCUUCAAAGCCAGCAGGAUGAUCUCUCUCUUGUGCGCUAAGAUAAAAUCUUAACUGCAACCACAGGAGUGAUCAUCUCAUUAUAUUUAUAGGUCCUGCCCACAGUCAAAGUGAGGGGACUUUGAGGGCAUAGACACCAGCAGGCAGAAAUUGUGGAGGUCAUCUUAGAAUUCUACUUCUCACAUCGCUUCUCCAGCUUUUGUAAGUGAUAUAUGUGUACAUACAUAGAAAAGCUCUUUGAAAAAUAUGAAGCACCCUAAAAGGGAAGGUAUUAUGAAGAAGCAGCAACAGGUAGGUUAAGGCUUAUUUUUUAGCUUUCCCUCCAUGAACAUAACACUAUGCUCAAGGAAGAUUACCUGGGGCGAUGGAGAUGUCUAGGGCUCACACAGGAUUUAGCAGGUAACACAUGCUGGAUGUUAUUAGAGAACAACAACAACAAAAUAUAUCCAUCUCCACCUGUCCCUAAUCCCAGGUAGAAGGGAAACCUCUCUGUGACUAAGACAUUUUCAGUGUUUCUGAACCCAGUAUGACCAUUUGGAGAUGGACACAGGGCUCAACCUGGGAACAUUCUCCUAGGAGACAGGUAGCCUCUUUUUAGCUUGAAGAGCCACAUGAUUGACACAGAGCCACAAUUGACCAUUUUAACCCACACUUAUUCAGAUGAUCUGCUACACGGAAGGUAUUACCUCUUACACAAGGAGAAACAGUAUGUUGGAGGGAGUUAAAAUUCUUUCGUGGUUUUGAUGGGUUCAUUAAAUUCAGUCUAACAUUAGCUUUUGUUGAUAAGAACCAAGCAAAGGUGAAUAUUAACCAAUCAGAGCUCUUGGAAUGCAAGAGGACAAAAGAAGACUGCGAUUUUCUUAAAAUACUUUUAAAAACUCCAGCUGAUUCCAUUUAAAGUAUUGCUGUCUUCUAGAACACUUUGGAAAGUAUGCAGAAAACCAAAUGCAUAAAAUAGCUAAAUGUACUACUGUAACAUAUGUAGACUGUUUUUGAGGUGUCAACAAAUAUCAGGUUUUUUCAUCUGUGUUUUCCAGAAUUUUUUUCAAUAAAGAAGUGUUAUUUCUACCUCAAAGUUUUCAAAUACAUGUUUCAAAUUGUAUAAAACUUACUCUGUUAUCAUACCUGAAAACUCAAACUUGGUGCAUGUAAUAAUUGCAGCAUUUUGAUUGAUCGUUACUGAACAGUCUAAUAUUUCUAAUAUUUGGGGAUGAUUUACAGAAUAUGCUCAUGACAUCUAGGCAUCAAUCUGGAGUUGGAAGGUCCAAUUUUAGUCCCCACAAAACCUUCAGUUGGUUGGGCCACUUUGGGCCACCUCAUCUCAUGCAGGUCCUGUUUCCUCUCCUGGAAAAUGAACAACUGAAUUAAGUGGUGUCAAAGGUCCCUUACGAUUCCGGCAUUGCCCUAGUCUGUGCUUCUGGCUCCAUGGCUGCUUUCAUUUGAAGACCUUGUCUAAUGACUUGUGGUAAUAUCAGCUGUGGGCUAAAUACCUGGCGAGCACAUUACAUAUUCGAAGGUGGCUCCAAUCUGCUAAGGGGCACUGCAGGGGUGUCACAGGACAAGUACAUCGGCUGGACUCAUGUGUCUCAUGGUGGUUUUGAAAGGCCUGGAAGUGUCAGGAAAUUUUAGCACAGCAAGCAUUUCCAAGAUCAUUGGCCAACCUUGUGGAUAGUUUUAUACCAAAAGUUUGAGAUCCUUUCAGGCCACGUGAAAUUAAAAUACAAGAAUUUACAGUUAUGUAUGUAAAGCAUUGAGGCAGCACAUAAAUGAGUAAGAAAUGAUUUUCCAAAGGACCAUGAGUGCAUGUCACAAGCAGUCAUUGGAAGCAUAAAAUACUGUAAGAGAGAUGAAUAUUUUUCUGUCUGCAAUUUAAUCUAUCAGAGUGUUAGGCCUUAGGAAAAAGGCCUCUGGUGGUGUUUUCAAUUCAAUAAAGCCAAAGAGGAUGUGA
rnacentral:lncRNA from 1 species